rnacentral:rRNA from 1 species
AUUGAACGCUGGCGGCAGGCCUAACACAUGCAAGUCGAACGAGUGGCGGACGCGUGAGUAAUGUCUGGGAAACUGCCUGAUGGAGGGGGAUAACUCCUGUAAACGGUAGCUAAUACCGCACACCAUCAGAUGUGCCCCGAUGGGAUUAGCUAGUAGGUGGGGUAACGGCUCACCUAGGCGACGAUCCCUAGCUGGUCUGAGAGGAUGACCAGCCAAACUGGAACUGAGACACGGUCCAGACUCCUACGGGAGGCAGCAGUGGGGAAUAUUGCACAAUGGGCGCAAGCCUGAUGCAGCCAUGCCGCGUGUAUGAAGAAGGCCUUCGGGUUGUAAAGUACUUUCAGCGGGGAGGCGUUACCCGCAGAAGAAGCACCGGCUAACUCCGUGCCAGCAGCCGCGGUAAUUC